GCCGGGAUGGCGGAACUGGCAGACGCAAGGGACUUAAAAUCCCUCGAUCCAAAAGAUCGUACCGGUUCGAUUCCGGUUCCCGGCACCA
rnacentral:tRNA from 1 species